GACGUAGGAGGCGAGCGUUAUCCGGAUUCACUGGGCGUAAAGCGCAUGUAGGCGGUCGAGAAAGUCCGUUGUGCAAGCCCCUGGCUCAACUGGGGGAGGCCAAGGGAGACUAACCGACUUGAGGGCAGCAGAGGAGCGUGGAACUCCCGGUGUAGCGGUGGAAUGCGUAGAGAUCGGGAAGAACACCAGUGGCGAAGGCGGCGCUCUGGGCUGCGACUGACGCUGAGAUGCGAAAGUGUGGGGAGCAAAC
rnacentral:rRNA from 1 species